GUUUCUUUUCCCCUCCAGGAGAACAGUCACUACACAGAUGUCGAGGAUGCCAGCCUACAGUAACCAGUAGCCCAUUCAGAACAGGAGUGAGCAGUGGUGUGAGGGAAGGACAAGGCUAAACCCUGUAAUGGCAUGUUGAGCCAGAUGAGCAUAAAAUGCAGGGCUGCUGUCAUCUCUGCCUGACAUUCAAAAGGAGAAACAGACUGACAUCUUCAACCCACCUGUAAAGCAAAGACAGAAAACCAGUCAUCCAAAUGGAUCCCCACUCCUCUCUCCAAUGGAUUCAGAGCCCUACUGCCAGCAUGGAUAGCAGACAAACCCCACACACACACCAUGAUCCUCACUGGCCAAGAUGCUGACAGAGGCUGCAUUAACAAACAAAUCAGGGACAUUUUAGAGCUUUUCUUAGGGGUAGGAGAAAGAAAAAUAAGAGAGCAAAGAUGUUUGCUCCUGUGAUACACAGGACCAGUACGUUUGUUAACUGGGGGAAAAGACUCUCCUGCUCUGAACAAUCUAUGGUUUCAAACGUAUGAUCACGUUCAUGAAUGGGGCAUGCAAGGAGCUUCCCAUUCCUUGUUUGGUUUUCAUCCUGUCACAGUCACCUUGGGUGCACAGUCACUUCCAUGUGUAAGGGAAUGUGUAGCGUGCCUCUUGCUGUGUGCUGGGCUCUUAGAAACUGCAUGAAAAGAGAAAGAAAGGAAGCCAUGUACAGAAGAACAAGUGAUUUUGAGCAAGAUAAGCAAAGCACCUUCAAUCUUCAGGUAUCCUAGACAUCUGGUCUCCUAGACAUGUGACUGACUAUAGAUAAAGACGAGGCAAGCAAACAGUCUUUGUGAGGUGGGUAAUGUGAGAGCCUUUACUGGACCAACAAGUCAAACAGUUCAGGGAUGUGAUCAAACUCUUGCUCUCUACCCCAACACCCAUACCGUGUUCAGUGCACAACUCCAUACUCUAUAGAAGAAUGUUCACACAUGUCCCCUUGCUCCAGCCUCACUCUGGUUUUCCUGGGUCAGGUCAGGGAGUGGGAGAAGGAGGAAAUCGUUCCUUAUACCAAAGGCUGCAUCCAACAUCGCAGUGUAUUGUGAUGAGUCCAAGUGAUGUUGUAACUCACCUAUGUGUAAAAGAUUUGUAAAGAUUAGUGCCAAGAGUGCUGGGCAUGAGGGAACUAGAGUAUUCUGUCCCUACCCGAUCCCCACAUUCAAACUACUCUUGACCUACUCACAACCCUAAGAACAAAGGAUAGCAGCAGACAUAGUGCAGUUUUCUCAAGGGAAACAUUCUAUAAUGCAGACCUUUCGCAUGUCCAGCUAUUGUGAUUUCACAGCUUCCCUCCUUCAUGGGCUUGUUCCUAGUUUCUAGUUUCUGAGACUGGUGGAGCCAAGAAUUUCAACCACUCAAACUGGACACCCCUUCAUACGUAUCUGGUGCUUUGCCCUCAGAGAACUGCCCAAGCCUUCUCCCUGACCAAGCUCCAAAACAAAAGGUGAAACAAACAGAAUCAUAGAGAUCUGCUAGACCAGUAUUCGGCAGGCCUCCUGGUUUCUACUGCAACGCUCAAAACCUGACUUCUUAUACAGUUUUUACAUGGGGGUGUUAAGGGGAAAGGGAAAGCAAGUCAAGGGCAGUGUUUCCCCCUCCAAAAGAACUCAGUUUGUAGUGAUCAUGACUCCUGAAGCACAACAUUUGACUUGCAUUUCUUAGUUGAAAACAACUCAGAUAAAGGGGGCGGCUGUUCUUUUCUUUUUCUUUUCUGCUUUUUUUGUCUUCGUUUCAGCUUUCCUUCCAUCCUUCUGUCCUUUUUUCCUUCCUUCCCCUCUUUAGUUCCUGUUCAGUUUGUCCACUGUGUUGUACUGAGCUGUUGUAGAGUUUUUUUUCUAGGCUUUGAGAGAUGAGCUGCAGUUUUUGCUAUGAACUGACCAUGAUGCUGAGGUUUUGGAGGAAGGUAGCCUUGUACAUAAAAAUCCUGUAAAAUAAAAGAGGGAAAUCUA